CAGCUGGCAUGCCAUUCAGUCUGCAGCCUCAGCGCGCAGGGAGACCGUCAUCGAUGAGUGGGAUGAGGAGUUUGAUAGAGGCAAGGUGAAGAAGGUUAAAAAGCGGAGGAGGGGGCAGAGGCACCAGAACCCCUUCCAGUGGCUGCACCACCAGCGCAGUGAUGCAUGCGGCCAAGGCAGCGAGCCUGCGCCACCGGCUCUGAGCCCGAAUGCCAGCGAGCGGGAGGAGCAGCCCC